AGAGUUUGAUCCUGGUUCAGAGUGAACGCUGGCGGCAGGCCUAAUACAUGCAAGUCGAACGGCAGCACAGCUUAAGCUUGCUUAAGUGGGUGGCGAGUGGCGGACGGGUGAGGAAUACAUGGGAAUCUGCCCAGUCGUGGGGGAUAACGUAGGGAAACUUACGCUAAUACCGCAUGCGCCCUUCGGGGGAAAGCCGGGGACCUUCGGGCCUGGCGCGAUUGGAUGAGCCCAUGUCGGAUUAGCUAGUUGGCGGGGUAACGGCCCACCAAGGCGACGAUCCGUAGCUGGUCUGAGAGGAUGAUCAGCCACACUGGAACUGAGACACGGUCCAGACUCCUACGGGAGGCAGCAGUAGGGAAUAUUGGACAAUGGGCGCAAGCCUGAUCCAGCCAUGCCGCGUGAGUGAAGAAGGCCCUUGGGUUGUAAAGCUCUUUUGUCCGGAAAGAAAAGCUUUGGGUUAAUACCCUGAAGUCCUGACGGUACCGGAAGAAUAAGCACCGGCUAACUUCGUGCCAGCAGCCGCGGUAAUACGAAGGGUGCAAGCGUUACUCGGAAUUACUGGG
rnacentral:rRNA from 1 species